rnacentral:rRNA from 1 species
CCUACGGGAGGCAGCAGUGAGGAAUAUUGGUCAAUGGACGAGAGUCUGAACCAGCCAAGUAGCGUGAAGGAUGACUGCCCUAUGGGUUGUAAACUUCUUUUAUAAAGGAAUAAAACGAGGCACGUGUGCCUUUUUGCAUGUACUUUAUGAAUACGGAUCGGCUAACUCCGUGCCAGCAGCCGCGGUAAUACGGAGGAUCCGAGCGUUCUCCGGAUUUAUUGGGUUUAAAGGGAGCGUAGAUGGGUUGUUAAGUCAGUUGUGAAAGUUUGCGGCUCAACCGUAAAAUUGCAAUUGAUACUGGCAGUCUUGAGUACAGUUGAGGUAGGCGGAAUUCGUGGUGUAGCGGUGAAAGGCUGAGAUAUCACGAAGAACCCCGAUUGCGAAGGCAGCUUACUAAACUGUGACUGACAUUGAUGCUCGAAAGUGUGGGUAUCAAACAGGAUUAGAUACCCGUGUAGUC